AUACGGAGGAUCCGAGCGUUAUCCGGAUUUAUUGGGUUUAAAGGGUGCGCAGGCGGCCAUUUAAGUCAGCGGUUAAAUCGUGGGGCUCAACCCCAUUCUGCCGUUGAUACUGGGUGGCUUGAUUGCGGUCGAGGUUGGCGGAAUUCGUUGUGUAGCGGUGAAAUGCAUAGAUAUGACGAAGAACACCGAUUGCGUAGGCAGCUGACCAGACCGCAAAUGACGCUCAUGCACGAAAGUGCGGGGAUCGAACAGGAUUAGAUACCCUGGUAGUCCGCACAGUAAACGAUGAAUACUCGUUUUCGGCGAUAUAAUGUCGGAGGCAAAGCGAAAGCGAUAAGUAUUCCACCUGGGGAGUACGCCGGCAACGGUGAAACUCAAAUGAAUUGACGGGG
rnacentral:rRNA from 1 species